rnacentral:sRNA from 12 species
CUUUAGUGAAAGAUUUUCUAACUCGAGACGGAAAAAGGGGAAGCUAAAGAUUAGAAGGAGAGGGGUGAGAAGACGUAAGAAAUUCCCCCACCUGCAGGGAGAGGGGUUUUUCGCUUGUGCUAGUCACCCCACUAGACCCCUUUUAACUUCG